AAUCAACGCUGGCGGCGUGCCUAACACAUGCAAGUCGAACGCGAAAGUGGAGCAAUCCAUGAGUAGAGUGGCAAACGGGUGAGUAACGCGUGGGCGACCUACCUUCGAGUGGGGGAUAACCUUCCGAAAGGAGGGCUAAUACCGCAUGACAUCCCGUGUUUGGAUACACGGACAUCAAAGCCGGGGAUCGCAAGACCUGGCGCUUGGAGAGGGGCCCGCGUCCGAUUAGCUAGNGGUGAGGUAACGGCUCACCAAGGCUCCGAUCGGUAUCCGGCCUGAGAGGGCGGACGGACACACUGGAACUGAGACACGGUCCAGACUCCUACGGGAGGCAGCAGUGGGGAAUUGUUCGCAAUGGGCGCAAGCCUGACGACGCAACGCCGCGUGGAGGAUGAAGACUUCGGUC
rnacentral:rRNA from 1 species